GACAGAGGGUGCAAACGUUGUUCGGAAUUACUGGGCGUAAAGCGCGUGUAGGCGGCUGUGUAAGUCGGGCGUGAAAUCCCAUGGCUCAACCAUGGAAGUGCACCCGAAACUGCGUAGCUAGAGUCCUGGAGAGGAAGGUGGAAUGCUUGGUGUAGAGGUGAAAUUCGUAGAUAUCAAGCGGAACACCGGUGGCGAAGGCGGCCUUCUGGACAGUGACUGACGCUGAGACGCGAAAGCGUGGGGAGCAAACAGG
rnacentral:rRNA from 1 species